rnacentral:rRNA from 1 species
AAGUUGUUGCGGUUAAAAGCUCGUAGUUCGAGCUCAGUUCCGGACUGGCCGGGGAGGUCACCGCCCGGUGCUUCCCCGUCAGGCUCCGAACAGCCUUCGUGAGCGGAGGCCAAGCCGGUUCUGCCGGGGUGCUCUUUACCGAGUGUCCCGCGCGGCCGGCCAGUUCACCUUGAAUAAAUGAGAGUGCUCAAAGCAGGCUACUCUCGAAUACAAUGCCCGAAUGUUACCUGCAUGGAAUGAUGGAAGAUGAUCUCGGUUCCAUUUUAUUGGUGGUGGGAGCCCGAGGUAAUGAUAAACAGGGACUGUCGGGGGCAUCCGUACUACGACGCGAGAGGUGAAAUUCAGUGACCGUCGUAGGACGAACAACAGCGAAAGCAUUUGCCAAGAAUGUCUUCGUUGAUCAAGAACGAAAGUUAGAGGAUCGAAGGCGAUCAGAUACCGCCCUAGUUCUAACCCUAAACGAUGCUGACUAGCAAUUCGCCGUCGUUAUUCCCAUGACGUGGCGAGACGCCCCCGGGAAACCUCAAGUCUUUGAGUUCCGGGGGUAGUAUGGUUGCAAAACUGAAACUUAAAGGAAUUGACGGAAGGGCACCACCAGGAGUGGAGCCUGCGGCUUAAUUUGACUCAACACGGGAAACCUCACCAGGCCCGGACACCAGAAGGAUUGACAGAUUAAGAGCUCUUUCUCGAUUUGGUGGGUGGUGGUGCAUGGCCGUUCUUAGUUGGUGGAGUGAUUUGUCUGGUUAAUUCCGGUAACGAACGAGACUCUGGCCUACUAAAUAGUCGACGGGCGUUUUGGUGCAUGGGCCCCGUUCGACACAGUCUUCUUAGAGGGAUGAGCAGCGAGUAUAGCUGCAGGAGAUUGAGCAAUAACAGGUCUGUGAUGCCCUUAGAUGUCCUGGGCCGCACGCGCGCUACACUGAAUGGGUUAGCGGGUUGUCCUUCUCCGAGAGGAGCGGGAAAUCGCUUGAAAACCAUUCGUGAUAGGGAUUGGGGCUUGCAAUUGUUUCCCAUGAACGAGGAAUUCCCAGUAAGCGCAAGUCAUCAGCUUGCGUUGAUUAAGUCCCUGCCCUUUGUACACACCGCCCGUCGCUACUACCGAUUGAAUGAUUUAGUGAGGCCUUCGGACUGGCGGUCUUGGACUGGGGCGCCGGCUUCUCCAGCAAUGGGUCGCCGGUGACCCGCCUAGACGGGCCGGAAAGAUGUCCAAACUUGAUCAUUUAGAGGAAGUAAAAGUCGUAACAAGGUUUCC